rnacentral:rRNA from 1 species
UACAGAGGGGGCAAGCGUUAUUCGGAAUCACUGGGCUUAAAGGGCGCGUAGGCGGGCUGUCAAGUCUGGGGUGAAAUCCCGCGGCUCAACCGCGGAACUGCCUCGGAUACUGACGGUCUCGAGGGGGGUAGGGGCGAGCGGAACUGAUGGUGGAGCGGUGAAAUGCGUUGAUAUCAUCAGGAACUCCGGUGGCGAAGGCGGCUCGCUGGACCUCUUCUGACGCUGAGGCGCGAAAGCUAGGGGAGCAAACGGG